AAAGAAACCAACAGGGAUUGCCUCAGUAACGGCGAGUGAAGCGGCAAGAGCUCAAAUUUGAAAGCUGGGCCUUUCAGGUCCCGCAUUGUAAUUUGCAGAGGAUGCUUCGGGAGUGGUCCCCAUCUAAGUGCUCUGGAACGGGCCGUCAUAGAGGGUGAGAAUCCCGUAUGGGAUGGGGUGUCCACGCCCGUGUGAAGCUCCUUCGACGAGUCGAGUUGUUUGGGAAUGCAGCUCUAAAUGGGUGGUAAAUUUCAUCUAAAGCUAAAUAUUGACCGGAGACCGAUAGCGCACAAGUAGAGUGAUCGAAAGAUGAAAAGCACUUUGAAAAGAGAGUUAAAAAGCACGUGAAAUUGUUGAAAGGGAAGCGCUUGCGACCAGACUCGCCUCUAGGGUUCAGCGUGCAUUCGUGCACGUGUACUUCCCUUGGGGCGGGCCAGCGUCGGUUUGAGCGGCCGGUAAAAGGCUCUCGGAAUGUAACGCCUCUCGGGGCGUCUUAUAGCCGGGGGUGCCAUGCGGCCAGCUCAGACCGAGGAACGCGCUUCGGCUCGGACGCUGGCAUAAUGGUCGUAAACGAC
rnacentral:rRNA from 2 species